UUUCACGAGGAGCAAUGUACACUUUGUCGGUCGCGAAGCAAACGUGUCUUCCGGUCUCGCCCUUCGCGUUUAUUAUACACCAACGGCCUCCGACGCGAUCCAAUCUUUUUGCAUCCGCGACGGUGCGCCAAUUCGAUCGACUGGGCGUUCCGGUUCUAUGCGCGCCUCUUCUCGACUUUUCAUCGUUUUACGAUCGCUCGAUGAUCUCGAUCCUCUCCGCAGGCAAUCGUGUUCGCGUGCCUUUUUGCUCGACUCCACGGGGAACGCUGCGGUUUCCCCGGCACAGACGCUGUUUCAUCGAUUCUAAUUCCUCCGCGUAGCGAUUUUUUCAUCGGCCAGUAACCGCGGACGUAUUCCUUUUUCCACGACGACGAAAUUGUUUGUUGCUUCGCCGGAUAUUUGCGUAACGCGGCUGGAUCGACGGUAUACGCAUGUUUGACGAAGAACAGAUGGGUUCUUUCCUCUUCGAAAAGCAACGUCUUUACACGAAAACGAUAGAAACUUAGUAUGUAGUAUACGAAGGCGACAAUUUCACGCGUUAGCGACUAGAGAACGUGAUUAGUUCUUCAGAAAAAAAAGGAAACUCAUUCCGGGAACUUUCCAUAGAAACCGCACACCCGUCGCGACGCGUCGAACGUCUUGCGUCCUCGUAACUGCGAAUUAAUAGUCGCAACGAUUUCAUUAGCGAUCGAGCGUAUAAUUGGCGCGCGUUUCUGAGAAUCAUGAUACCCGCUCGCGACUUUAUCUUCUAUCGUUGCGUUGUGGCGCGCAACGAAAGGUGGAAUGGAAGCGUACUAAUUGAAUCUAGCGGCGUUAUAAAAUCGCGCUAAAAUUCUGAGACGGUCGUUUUCGUUGUCUCGAUUAAUGUCUGUCGUAAAUAUAUAGGCGUACUUCUAUCCUAGCUACUGGACAGCCGUAUGCAGAAGCAUCGCCGAGUCACGUUCGCGCUCGAUGCACCUGUGUAAACGCGAACCGGCCGGCGGGAAUUAUUAUCGCAGCGUUAACUCGUCCGUUCGCGGCAAGUUACCAGCAUUACGCAAAAUUAAUUUUCGCGAAACGGGCUACGAGCAAUUUUAGGAAAAAUGCUAUGUAAAAUAGUUAAACUCAUCAGCGGAUGAGUUCGCGAUCAGCGAAAUGCAGCGUUAAAUCGAAUAGUGAAAAACCAAGUAAGUUUAAUUUUAAUUAAACGCGAAAUCGCAAUUGGGCGUGAAAUUCUGACUUGAAAAAUUAUCAUUCAUUAUUACACGAAAAUCGUCCACGUCUCGAUCGUUUUCCGCUUAUCGCGCAAAUCUUACUCGCGUUUCAAUUAAACCUCCCAUUGAUCAAUUAAAAAGCUCGUUCGUUUCGGCUUGUUCGCAUUUAAUUACGCGGCCUGCAGACGCACAUACGGAGGGAUAAUAAAAAGAAAAAGUCGAGCGGAUCGAACGGUGGCGAUAACAAAGUGUUCCCUGGAAAGUGGAAAUAGCGACAGGUGCGUUUAAUCUGCACGGUGAAAGGGAUUGGUCUACGUCGGAGGCUGCAAAAAAGUUCGCACGCGUUAAUCCGUGCCGAGACCGCGGAUAAUAGAGGCCGUCCGCAAGAAAGCCGGGGUGCUUUGCUCGUUGGCUAUUAAUUAGCCGCUCGAGAAAAUCCAUUGAUCGUUACGCACGUACGCACUUUACGUUCGCCAGAAGGAUGAUUGGAAUAUCAGCCGAUCCGCGGAAUAUUUUGGCCUUCCCUCGCCUAAUGAAUCGGAGAUCGCACGUGGGGCUGGUGGUGGCGCGCGCGAAACCGGGAAUUCAACGUCAGAAUUCAUGAAUUAAAACGACUGUAUUAUACGCGGUUACGUCACGGCACGAUUUCGAAAGUUUUUCUAUUUUUUUUUUUUUUCUUUAGGGAACGUCGAAUCUGUUGAAGGUGCGUUUAAAGCACCUGCCGACUCUAUCCGAGAUACUUGAAUUUGUCAUCAAGGUCUCGCGACGUCAGACGGAUCGGAUUCGGUCGGCGUGAAGAGAGAACCGAGCGAAACGAAAGGCUGGAAAGGAGAUGCAUACAACCGGUAAACACAACGCAAGACGACCAGCUUAACGGCUGUGAGCUGAUCUAUCUCGCUAAACGCUACGCAUCAUCGAAACGGGCGAUCGAGGUACUCUUGGAGGACCACGGAUGACGCGUACGAAAAUGGACGAAGCACGCGGAUGGAAGGGUAUAUGGGAAGGUAUACGAGAGAGAAGAGAUUUCCUACGAAGCACUGACCAGUGGUCGCAACGAAGAAGCCAGUCGGCCUCGAUUAGAGUCACGGAAUAAAUUUCUGCGGAGUGUGGGAGCGAACCGGUCGAGGUCCUCGUCUCUAAUUGACCCCACUUUACUGCGAAACUCAGGCGACUACGCGGGCAGAUUUCAGUCCGCACGCGGGCAUGCCUAGAUUUUCGCUGAUUACACGCGCUUCCGUGAUAGGAAAACCACCUGGUGAGUUUGCGCUUCCAUAUAAAAAUUAUUCCUUCUGCUACACGUAACAUUUUAAAUUUGUUAUUAACCCCUUCGCCUAUGAUUUUUUCGAUAGUUGUGUCAGUCAGUGAUAAUUAUUCAUUGCUACAAUUUUAAAACGAAUAAAGAAAAAUGAAAUAUCCUUGAUUGGGCAAGUUAUAAUUAGAAUUUAUCUUAAAAUUCGAUUAUAUUAAAAGUACCAGUCAAGUUAGACAAAUUUGAAUUGUAAAUUGUUGUAGGGCAAGGGGUUAAUUAUUAAUGUAAUCAAUCAAACUAUGAUAACUAUCCAGAAAUAAAGUAAUCGAGGAUCCUAUUCACCUCGGUCAGGUUUGAACCGAAUACUCGGAAGUGCAAGUACGCGAUGAAACUGUGUCGCAUUCUAAAACAAGAGAAUUUAAUAUAUUCGGGUACGUCAUUUUCCACCCCCCAUUUCCUUGGACUUGGCGAAUUGUCGUAGAUACAUCUGAAAAUAGGCUUCCCGGAAUAGCGAAGAAUUUAGACCACCAACGCGCAGCUCUCGUCUCAAUUAACGCUUAAAGACUCGUCCACACGGAACCACCACCCACUACGCAUCUCGACACGCUGUGUUUGUUCGUAACAAGAGUCGGGCUUGUUAUCUUAUAAGAGCUACCCGACGAUACCGAUCUUGAUUCAUACGUCGUCCGUGCUACGACGACGAAAUCGAGCCUGGUGCUCGUAAAUCACGCGAACAUGCCGCUUACCUUUCACGAUGGAAGGCAAGUGUUUUCGGUUAUAAGUGAAACUCGACUUUAAUUUUCCCUGCAGAUUGAAUAUUCUCACGACUUCCAGACGAUUAACUAUAGAAAUAUGGAACUUCAUACGUAAUCAUUCAUUUCUAAUGCUUAUUUUUUGAAAUUACUUCCUCCAUUUAUAAAGAAAUAAGAAAUUUUCAAUAUUUUCUGAUUAUUAACUUGGACGAGCUAUCAUUUAUGAUUAGUAAAAUUAAUUAGACAAGGAAAUUUCUCGAGCUUUUCUAGACAUCGAUAGCAGUGAAAGGGUUGAAGGAUUUUAAGUGGCACCGUAUAUUCUCUCCAACUUCCCGAAUUCCAACGUGCAAUUCUCGGUAAAAGAAAAACGACGAGAUAUCACGGGUCGUAGGUAAGCGAUCGUUCACGGGAAUCUGUGCAAUUACAAUUUUUCCCGGGUAAAUCGCGCGCGUAUUUCUCUGCUUGGGGUCGCAGUUAUAAUUUUUCGAUAAACAGGCGUGUGGGAUAAGUAAUGGUUAUCGAUCUUUCCCCACCGUUUCUCAGCGACUUUCGUACAGAUCGCGUGGGAGUGUAAGGAUGUAACGAGCAUCAGAUAAUAACGAAACGUGUAUGCACCCGAUUGACCACUGAAUCAACCACGGUUGCUUACUAUUUCACGGCUUACGGGUUAUGAGCGCAAGGAUUAUUGUUACCAUUAUCGUUGGACCACCUGCGUGGCCAGCGGAGGAAGCCGCUUUCUCAUGUGAACGUGCCGCUCCAGCAGCAAUAAGGAAGAGAUUUUAUUCUUUUCGGUAAAUGAAAACCCGCGGCACCUUUCGUUAUUCCCCGCGGAACGCUGCGAAACGGAUGCGAAUUACGCCUUUUCAAGUUUUUAACCCUUUCGUUAUGGUAAUAAGUUCGCCUGGAUAUCGCAUCAUUUCGUCUAUCGUAAAUUUGUUUUAUUACACAAACGAUGCUUAAAUUUGCAUAAUCCAUCGUUUAUAUUACAAGGAAUUUUCUUAUUUACCUAAUUACAAAUGUCAGUAUUAAUUGCUUGGAUUAUGAAUAAUAAAAAUAACGAUGUACUUGGAAAAUAAUGAACAAAAAUUUCUUGAAAACGUGUCUGAUCAUAGUCAUCCUUAACCCUUUGCAUCAUGAUUUUCCUAGCUGACGAUGAUCAGACUAUUAACUAUUAACGUCGCUGGAACGUUCAAUAUCGUUUAGAUUAACUGAAAAUUGUCGGGACGAGGAGCGUUCAGUGGAUUCGAGCGACCACCAUACGCCCACACGUUGAAACCUCGUCGCAUCUUAAGUGGUAGCAAUGAAAAAUAAAAAGCACACGCUCGGACCAGCCAGCCAGUCGGCCAGCUCUGUGCUCCAUAGCCCGGUUGCAUUAUAAUUACUACAAAUUGAAUCGUUUAGCCGCUUUUAAGGUCGUGAGAUAGUGUCCGGGAAUGCGACGCUCGAAUAAAUCAAUUCACGGGUUGCUCGUGUAAAGGCCUUUCGCUCCUCGCUUACGACCGCGAUGGAAUCGUUUCAACUCUUUGCCGGACUCAAUUUCGUUUCUAAAUCAUUUGCAAACGGAAGAGAACUUUGAUUAGAAUAGAAACGAUGGGUGUAAACAUUGGGUGUCUAUAGCCGCUCUGUACUUGCAGUUUCAAUUUUUAUUUUAAUGUGAAAUUAAAAACGAGUUUAUUAAGAAAUUAUGAAUAUCUUCUUUUUCCUUCAAAAAGCAUCGUUAAAGCAACUUGUGUAGCAGUAAAACAUAGACGGAUUGUCUCGGCGAACAAGACUACUUGGAAUCCGUAGCAUUGCGUAAAAAUGUAUAACAAUUACUCCUAAAAGCGCAAGUAUCCCAUAAACAUAAGAAAUUCUUAUUUACGAACCCCUUUUCCCUAACGAACAAAAAUACGAUCCUCAUUCAUUCGGAUUAUCCUUAGCUAUUCGAGAGAAAAAGGACCCUUACGUUAAGGUCCGCUGCGUUCAUGAGU